AGAUUAAACGAACUUACCUUAAGUGAAGUUUGAUCUUAAUUAUAUGAAGCGUCUCGUCCGAAUAGAUCAUAAUUGUAGUAUACUUGUUUCCGAAGGAAUUCACCACAGUGUUCAAAGUAUAUGACCAUAGAGUCAUAUUUCCAACCUAAAAAACUGCGCACGCAUCCCCAUGCUUCCUCGAUGCUCCUUCAGCCUAAAGCCGCCAUUAUUUUUUAAAGCAAAUUUUCCAGAUUUCCCUUUUGUUUUACACCUUUUUUGUCCAGGGAACAAAGUAAGGGUUGGGUGGGACUGAUCUAUUCGGACGAGACGCUUCAUAUAAUUAAGAUCAAACUUCACUUAAGAUGUUCAAAGAACUGAUGUAAAUCAGUGCAAAAAAGGUGCCACUAAAAACCAGAGAAGUCCAAAAUGUAUCUCUACAACUGGAUAUCAAAAUAAAACUUAGUUUUAUUUUGAACAAAAAUAAGAGGUUGAUUUUUAUCAUGUAUAUACGAUUAAAUCAAGCUGGUUUUUUCCAAAUAGUUACAACUUGUAGCUCUCUUCGUACAUCCGAAGGUCUGGAAAAUCAUCGUUUGGAUGAUCGUACCUGGUUCCAAAAACCCUUCCGGGUCAAUAUCAAUGGGUAAAUUAUUUCGUACUUGAGACUUCAAUAUUUUUCCAGUGCAGAAAAGGUCUCAACGAAGGUCAUUCUUCUGUUUUGAUUCCAAAGAAGACAACGAUGUAUUUUCACAACUGAGUAUCAAAUAGAAACAAGGUUUUAAAUUGAACAAAAGGGAAACUACUAGCUCUCAUACCCCACUAAGGAUUAUUACUUUCCUCGAGUGGAGAUUAUUGUCCAAGUUGUAUUUUUUUUCAACUAAUGUACAACAUAUUUAUUUGAUCUUAAACAAGACGGUAGAGCUUUUUU